UCCUACGGGAGGCAGCAGUCGGGAAUAUUGCGCAAUGGAGGAAACUCUGACGCAGUGACGCCGCGUGCAGGAAGAAGGUUUUCGGAUUGUAAACUGCUUUAGACAGGGAAGAAAGAAAUGACGGUACCUGUAGAAUAAGCUCCGGCUAACUACGUGCCAGCAGCCGCGGUAAUACGUAGGGAGCAAGCGUUAUCCGGAUUUACUGGGUGUAAAGGGAGCGUAGACGGUUACGCAAGUCUGGAGUGAAAGGCGGGGGCCCAACCCCCGGACUGCUUUGGAAACUGUAUAACUGGAGUGCAGGAGAG
rnacentral:rRNA from 1 species